UGCUUGUUGCCAUGGUAAACUCCGGUUAGUUAUGCAGCAGGAAGUCGGUAAAACCCGUCGGCGGCGUCCGAACACGGAGAAAAGCGACGGUUUGGGUAAUAAACUCAGCAUUUCUGGAACAUUUUUCCAAUUCUGAGUCUGAACAGAACGUUCCGAACAAAUGUUUGCAGCGACGACUUUAAAGCACCUUCUAGUUUCACUCCUCGCUUCAUACGAGUUUAUCUGCAGCUUCUUGAUGAAUAUAUUUCAUGGCUCCCGUUCAGGCUUUAAUACAAGAUUAGUCUGCAUUAAGUGUAAUUAGAGGGAUUGAUUCAGCGGAGCAGAAAGUCAUCCUGUAGAAAGAACUGAAACUGGUGACUCUGAGUUGUUGCUGUGACGUCUUUAUUUUCCAGCUCAGGAACAGACUGUCCAGAAAAGAUAAACAGGCUGAAUGAACGAUGGUAGUAAAAAAUAUAGAUGUAAUAAAGAGCAUCUUUUCGGCUGUUUCACUUUGAAUUAUUCCGUGUAAAAUCAACCAAAUCUGAAAAAACGUUCCCAGCAAACCUCCUCAGAAUCAGUUGAUUCUUUAUCUGCAGGAACUUUAUUGAAUGAUCAAAGUUUUAUCUUCAUACUGUGAAUAUUUACACAGUUACAGGCCCUUAAAAUCCAAAUUAAACCCUUUUAAAGCAUUUUUUCAACAUUUCUGAGCCUCAGAACUUUAUCAGUACAGCAGAUAGACACAUGACAUUUUAACAACACAACCUGAGCUCUGGAAAAAAAGCAAGUCUGUUUAAUCUGAUGUUAUUAUUUCAGUAUGAAGUAAAAACUAUGCAAAAAUUAUGACAAAAAGAUAUGAAAUCGCCACAAACCUGCCUCAGACCCAAAAUCACCACAUCAGCUUGCAAAGUCGCCAUGAAACAAGAUCAGCAAAAAAAAGAGACUAUAUCAGCACAAAAACACUCAAAAUCACCACAAAAACAAACAAUCACACCAUAAAGACCCAAAAUCACCACAAAAACAUGGAAACACACCAUAAAAAGAGGCAAAACCAACACAAAAACAUACAUUCACACCAUAAAAGGACUUUUAAUCAGCACAAAAACACACAUUCACACUGUUGCUUUAGUCAUUUUGACUUCAAAUGCUGCAAAUACUACAUUUUUAUGUUGUUUACUUAUAAUCAAUUGAUUAAUGAAAGAGUUGGUGUCAUUUGCAUCUCCAAAUAUCCUCUCUGGAUCUCUGCAGUUCUACACAGAGGACACAGGAAUCCACUGAAAGUUUAAAAACACCUGAAUCACCGUCUUUCCUCCGAUAAUCUCCCCAAACGCUCCCCGAGCUCCGAUCCAGAGUUGUGAUGGCAGCUCAGAGGGAAAUUAUCUGAAUGUCAACAGCUGCUGUUCAGUGAAGAGCUCUGGAUCAGAAUGUCCAUCCAGGGAGGAGACCUUUAGAACAUUAGAGAGGAGGUCAUUGGUUAGUCCUCCAUCACACAGGAAGUCUAGAGGAGGUCACCGGUUAGUCCUCCAUCAUACAGGAAGUCUAGAGGAGGUCACCGGUUAGUCCUCCAUCAUACAGGAAGUCUAGAGGAGGUCACCGGUUAGUCCUCCAUCAUACAGGAAGUCUAGAGGAGGUCACCGGUUAGUCCUCCAUCACACAGGAAGUCUAGAGGAGGUCAUCGGUUAGUCCUCCAUCACACAGGAAGUCUAGAGGAGGUCAUCGGUUAGUCCUUCAUCAUACAGGAAGUCUAGAGGAGGUCACCGGUUAGUCCUCCAUCAUACAGGAAGUCUAGAGGAGGUCACCGGUUAGUCCUCCAUCAUACAGGAAGUCUAGAGGAGGUCACCGGUUAGUCCUCCAUCAUACAGGAAGUCUAGAGGAGGUCACCGGUUAGUCCUCCAUCAUACAGGAAGUCUAGAGGAGGUCACCGGUUAGUCCUCCAUCACACAGGAAGUCUAGAGGAGGUCAUCGGUUAGUCCUCCAUCACACAGGAAGUCUAGAGGAGGUCAUCGGUUAGUCCUCCAUCACACAGGAAGUCUAGAGGAGGUCAUCGGUUAGUCCUUCAUCAUACAGGAAGUCUAGAGGAGGUCACCGGUUAGUCCUCCAUCACACAGGAAGUCUAGAGGAGGUCAUCGGUUAGUCCUUCAUCAUACAGGAAGUCUAGAGGAGGUCACCGGUUAGUCCUCCAUCACACAGGAAGUCUAGAGGAGGUCAUCGGUUAGUCCUUCAUCAUACAGGAAGUCUAGAGGAGGUUAUCGGUUAGUCCUCCAUCAUACAGGAAGUCUAGAGGAGGUCACCGGUUAGUCCUCCAUCACACAGGAAGUCUAGAGGAGGUCACCGGUUAGUCCUCCAUCACACAGGAAGUCUAGAGGAGGUCAUCGGUUAGUCCUCCAUCACACAGGAAGUCUAGAGGAGGUCAUCGGUUAGUCCUCCAUCACACAGGAAGUCUAGAGGAGGUCAUCGGUUAGUCCUCCAUCACACAGGAAGUCUAGAGGAGGUCACCGGUUAGUCCUCCAUCACACAGGAAGUCUAGAGGAGGUCAUCGGUUAGUCCUCCAUCACACAGGAAGUCUAGAGGAGGUCACCGGUUAGUCCUCCAUCACACAGGAAGUCUAGAGGAGGUCAUCGGUUAGUCCUCCAUCACACAGGAAGUCUAGAGGAAGUCAUCGGUUAGUCCUCCAUCACACAGGAAGUCUAGAGGAGGUCAUCGGUUAGUCCUCCAUCACACAGGAAGUCUAGAGGAGGUCACCGGUUAGUCCUCCAUCACACAGGAAGUCUAGAGGAGGUCACCGGUUAGUCCUCCAUCACACAGGAAGUCUAGAGGAGGUCACCGGUUAGUCCUCCAUCACACAGGAAGUCUAGAGGAAGUCAUCGGUUAGUCCUCCAUCACACAGGAAGUCUAGAUGAAGUCAUUGGUUUAGCCAUUUUUGACAUUUUGGUGUUUUGUUUACACUUUGAGCCAUUUUGAAAAUUAUCCUGUCAUAUCCUGUAGGUAAUUUUGCAUCAGUUCAGAUUCUUUUUUUCAUUUGGGAAAUGUUUAAGUCAUUUUGUAAAAGUUUUUUGUAAUUUUAUCCUUUUUUGUUGUUCUAGGUACAUUUUUAGCCAUUUUGGAUUUUUUUUAGUAAUUUUUGAUUUUUUUUAUCAACUUUUUAAACGUUUGUGUCAUUGUCAUUCAUUUUUGUUGUCAUUUUAAAUAUUUUUAGUCAUUUUGUGUUUGUUUUGAGUCCUUCUGGAAACAUUUAAGUCUUUUUUCUGGGUUGUUUUGGGUACAUUUGAGCCAUUUGGAAAUUUUCUUGAGCCACAUUGGUAAAUUUAUGUAAUAAACAUUUUGUUUUUAGUAAUUUUGGGUCCAUUUUGAGUUUUA